rnacentral:rRNA from 1 species
UACGGAGGGUGCGAGCGUUGUCCGGAAUCAUUGGGCGUAAAGGGCGCGUAGGUGGCCCGGUCAGUUCGUGGUGAAAGCGCGGGGCUCAACCCUGCGUCGGCCAUGAAUACUGCCGCGGCUGGAGCACUGUAGAGGCAGGCGGAAUUCCGGGUGUAGCGGUGGAAUGCGUAGAGAUCCGGAAGAACACCGGUGGCGAAGGCGGC